rnacentral:rRNA from 1 species
AAAGAUUAAGCCAUGCAUGUCUAAGUAUAAGCAACUAUACGGUGAAACUGCGAAUGGCUCAUUAAAUCAGUUAUCGUUUAUUUGAUAGUACCUUACUACAUGGAUAACCGUGGUAAUUCUAGAGCUAAUACAUGCUAAAAACCUCGACUUCGGAAGGGGUGUAUUUAUUAGAUAAAAAACCAAUGCCCUUCGGGGCUCCUUGGUGAAUCAUAAUAACUUAACGAAUCGCAUGGCCUUGCGCCGGCGAUGGUUCAUUCAAAUUUCUGCCCUAUCAACUUUCGACGGCUGGGUCUUGGCCAGCCAUGGUGA